rnacentral:tRNA from 1 species
AGGAUAUUAGUUAAAUUUUAUAACAUUUAAUUUGCAAUUAAAAAUUAAUUAAAAUUAUAUCUUA